UGCUUUGCAAACACUUUAUUACACAAAUUACAUAGUUACUGAAAAUAGUACUCUUGCAGCAAAACCAGUGUGUCACAAUAAAUAUCAGAGAGCCAACAUGUGACUGCAACGUUUCUACGGCAUGCCAUAAAGGACAUUGUUCAUUCAUACGCACUCAGUCAUUCAUUCGUUCAUGCACGGGCCAUGGCAGACUGAGAGUGCGGACACAAACUAAAACAGGAGGCUGAGAGAUGGUGAGUGUCGAGGAAGAGAAAGAUGAUUCAAAUAUGAUUCAUUCAUGUUUACAUGAUGCAGCAUUUAUAUAUACGUAUGUGCAUGUGUGUGUGUGUAUAUGUGUGUGUGGUCCUGAGAGUUUGACACUCUUUAAGGGAGAUUUCAAGAACGAUUAUAUGCAAAAGACGCUUUUAAAGGCUGCUCCAUCUGUGCAAAACAUGCAGGAAAUGAAUGAAUUAGCUGUUAAAGGUUAUUAUUAUUCAUAGACUGUAUAUAGGAAGUGGGUGUGGCCACUGUGAGGUCAUCAUUUAGUUUGCAAACUGCAGUUCGUAAUCCUCCAGGCUGGCAUUUUAAAUGUUGGCAUCAUUUGUUCUACCUGAAGUAUUUACCUGUCGAAUGCUGUCUUGUUCAGAGUCAUAGGUGAUCCUUUAUGUGAAGGAGGGGGUGGAGGGAAACCCUCGCUCCUCUCCAGCUCCACCCUCUCCUCCACAAAAAUGAUCAUGUCUUGUCAAACAUAAGCGAUCAUUUUCAGCACUCUACCAAAAGAAGACCAUGAACUUAUCAGGCAAAUGCUAAUUUCCAUUUAAUUAGGCGCCCCCUGCUGGACAUCCAGGAGAAUGCAGGUUUAAGGCACAUCUGCAUUGGCAGAUUCCUCCACCCCAUAAAUACAGUCCAUGAAUAACUCGCAGAUAGAUUCAAGGAUUAAAACAACAGAGUUUUAAGUUUCCUCUAAAAUGAAUAACAAAGUUGUUGUGAGGAAUUUUCAGUUCCAAGAAAUCCCAUCUUUAGAAAUGAUGCGCUAUGAUACCCUGUAUAUAAAGAGGACUUUACACAGACUUAGAGGCAUCAGCAUCAAUAUCAAACUGUUUCACAACCCCAUGAAACACCUCACAGGAGCUUUAAUCAGCAAAUACUUGACAUAACAAUUUCAGCUUCUCAAAAGUAAAUGUUAGUGCUUUUCUCCUUGAAUCAGAGUCAGGAUUAAUUUGGGGUUUCACAGAGUUUAGAGGAAUAUUUUAACCUGAGCUCUGAGGAAUAAAGGCUGUUAAUUCUUCUGAUAUUUCACAGAGCAGGUGAUGGAUUAGACGCUCAGAUUGACUCUGGUUUCAGCUUUGAAAUAAGAGCUGAUGCAGAGCAGAUUUUAGUACUAAAAUACAAACUUUAAGUGCGUAAUAGUGGCGUUCUUGAGUGUAGUGUUGGAUCUGCAGAGUGCACGGUGAGCUCUAGAGCUACAGUAUAAAGAAGGAAUGAUGUGUCUGGAAUUGUGUGGGUUUUUCGAAGCUACACUGAGCUCCUGUCUCUCUGUUCACUCUGAUUAUCAGCUGACCUCUGUCGCACAGGCGGGAACAGGUACAGAGCUCAGACCUGGCUGUUUGAUUGGCGUCACACACUCUCUCUUUCUCUCUCACACACAUAAAUAUACAUAUAUAUGAUAUAAUAUCCAUUCUCUGUUCACUGGAAGGUCAUCAGUAAUAAUAUACAAGCUCUACUAGCAGCAGCUGAUUCUCUCUGUCUUAGAUCAAACGAUCAGGCGCUAAAAAAGGCAAAACAAUGAAAAAAAGGCACAGAUGAGUGAAACAUGAGACAACUGAAAUAAUAUCAUUGAUAAAAAGGAUAUUAAAAAAGAUGGAGGUGAAGAUAAGGGUGGAGAUUUACUGCAUGAAGAGAUGAAUGUUACAAAAGGAUGGACUGUCCC
rnacentral:lncRNA from 1 species